rnacentral:lncRNA from 1 species
AGUAAUUAUGUUUAGAUUUCUUCAAGUCGGCCUCCAGAAGAAACCUGAUGGUGGUGCAACACUGGCGACGUGGAAACGAUUUGAAACCACUAGAAGAGCAAGAACCCAAAUCGUCUCUCAGGUAAUCUUUGAGCAUCAAUGAUUUUUUCUCGAGUGAAAGCGUUUUCCUAAGCUUGAUAUGAUCAGUGGGAAAAUUGAUCAAAGCCAUAUUUAUGAAAAGAAAAAGAAAACAGGGUCAAAAGAAUUUCAGGGUUUCAAAAGAGAGAGAGAGAGAGAGAGCGUGUGUAGUUAGUUGUUACAACUGGAAGCUGUGGUCAUGAUGAUGAUGGAAUCGUGAAGGGGAUAAGAGAGCAUUUAAAAUAAGACUGAGAAUCAUCAGUAUAUAAAAGUUUUAGCAGAAAAGAGUAACAGCUUUUUGCACAAAGAAGAGAAGAGAAGACAAAGGAGUUUAUAGGCGGGAAGGGGAGAGAGAGAGAGAGAGAGAGAGAGAGAGAGAGAGAGAGGUGGUAGUGAAGAUCUCUAGGAGUUAGAGAAGCUUGGAUGCCUCUUCUUCUCCUACUUCUUGUUUUUUGUUGUUAUUAUGGUUCAUAUAUUUGGGUUUUUGAAUUUUAUUGUAAUUAUUAGACAGUAAAUGAGGCGGGUAGAAUGAAAGGAAGUGUUGGCUUGUUUUGGAGUGGUGUGAGUGAGAGACCAGUAGUUGACCUUUGACGAAUCUAAAAAUGAUGUGCUGUUAUCUUCCAUGCAUGCUAGGAGAGAAUCAGCUGCAUGCACGCCCACACCUUUCUUGCUUAAAAGGCCAAUGUUUUACCUGUGGUAAUAUUGCUUUUUUUUAAAAAGAAAGUAAUUAAACAUAUCAUAAUACAGUAGUACUGAUAAUGAGUGUCUACAAGAUUAGAAAAAUCAAAAGUAAAUAAUUAGAAAUGGAGUAGCCCCAUAUUUUUAUUCAAUAAUGAAGACGUUAAUGCUAAUCUAUAACCCAUUAUGUUGCAAUAAGUCUAUACUAUGAAUGACCUAUUCUUGGUUGAUUACAACUUAGAAGCAGGAUUACCGCAGAGCAGGUAGGCAGAAUUAUUUGGUGUAAUAAUAUCUGUCUGAGGCGCAUGCAGGGAUGAGUUCCCUCUUCCCUAGUAGCUAGUGUAAUCAAUUAAUUUCGUGCAUGUCCCACGGUGAGGGCCGAGUGAUUAUGGCUUUCUACUUGCAAACUAAAGAGGAAACAUCUUUUUUAACUAAAAAACAAAGAAAAGAAAAGAAAAGAGAGGAAGCAUCUUAAUGUACAUGUGGAAUUGUUAAUUAAAUAAAAAAAUUUAAAUUCAAUAUUAAAUAAUAUUAAAUUAAAUUUUAAUAUGUUUUCUUCUCUCUCCUCUCCCACGUUUCAUUAUCUUCUUCCCUCUCUACCAUAGCUGCCCACCAAGUUCCAACAGGCCACCACGUCUCUAUUUUUUAUUUCAUUCCAAUGAAAUUAAAAAAAAAACCCCUUAUCUUGUUGGAGAAGAAUCAGAGCUUUUAUGUUGGAGCUUUUAAAUUUGAAAGAUUUCAUUUCUAGGUUUAUAUAUUUUGUUAAUGGAGCUCCGAUGUCAAUGCUUUCUCGAUCCCGCUGGCGCAAUACAACCCGUUGGAUGAGUCGAGCCCACUUGUUUUGAAGCUAAGGAAGAGUCCUUCACUUUUGGAUUGGUCCAAAUGCGCCUCUCUCAAUCUCAAAGCAAUGGCUCAGCUGCUUAAGCUGAAAGCUUGAACUCUGGUUUCAAAAAAGGGGAGUAAAGUAAGCCUUAAAUUUCCCAGCUUCGAUUCUUUGAAUCGGCCACUGGGAGGUACCUUUUAUUAAAUUUUAUUCAUUUAUUUUAUUAAAUGCAUUCAUUCUGAGGUCGAGUAUUAUUUUAUUGAGUUGAAGUAUGAACGUGAUUCAGGGUGGGUUUGGAUGGACGAUUGGGUGUGGUACGGUGUGUUUAACUUACUUUUUGUAUUACGUUAUAGUAUUGCUACAGUAUCUAAUCUCACCGCUACCGCUAAUUUUACACUAACCACAGGUAAAAACACUGUCCAUCGAAACUCACCUUUGGUGGUCAAAUGUUAUUUUCCCUUGCACAGACGUUGGAACAAAGGGUAGUGGAUGCAUACGGCUAGGGCCUAAGAC